rnacentral:rRNA from 1 species
UUCCCUUUGGUUCGGAAUAGCCCAGGGAAACUUGGGGUAAUACCGGAUAAGCCCUUACGGGGAAAGAUUUAUCGCCGAAGGAUGGGCCCGCGUCGGAUUAGCUAGUUGGUGGGGUAACGGCCUACCAAGGCGACGAUCCGUAGCUGGUCUGAGAGGAUGAUCAGCCACACUGGGACUGAGACACGGCCCAGACUCCUACGGGAGGCAGCAGUGGGGAAUAUUGGACAAUGGGCGCAAGCCUGAUCCAGCCAUGCCGCGUGAGUGACGAAGGCCUUAGGGUUGUAAAGCUCUUUUGGCGGGGAAGAUAAUGACGGUACCCGCAGAAUAAGCUCCGGCUAACUUCGUGCCAGCAGCCGCGGUAAUACGAAGGGAGCUAGCGUUGUUCGGAAUCACUGGGCGUAAAGCGCACGUAGGCGGACU